UACGUAGGGUGCAAGCGUUAAUCGGAAUUACUGGGCGUAAAGCGUGCGCAGGCGGUGAUGUAAGACAGGUGUGAAAUCCCCGGGCUUAACCUGGGAACUGCAUUUGUGACUGCAUCGCUGGAGUGCGGCAGAGGGGGAUGGAAUUCCGCGUGUAGCAGUGAAAUGCAUAGAGAUGACAUAGAACACCGAUUGCGAAGGCAGCUCACUACGCGAAGAUUGACGCUGAGGCACGAAAGCGUGGGGAUCAAACAGG
rnacentral:rRNA from 1 species